AGAUCUUUAAGUUAAGUUAAACUACUAUCCUUCAAAGUUAGCAAUAUUUAGUUAAGGUCUG
rnacentral:tRNA from 1 species